GACGAACGCUGGCGGCGUGCUUAACACAUGCAAGUCGAACGGAAAGGCCCUGCUUUUGUUGGGUUCUCGAGUGGCGCACGGGUGAGUGACACGUGAGUAACCUGCCCUUGAAUUUGGGAUAACUUCUGGAAACUGCGGCUAAUACCGGAUAGGAGCUCCUGCUGCAUGUUGUUGGUUGGAAAGAUUCGGCUGUUGGGGAUGGACUCGCUGCUUAUCAGCUUGUUGGUGGGGUAGUGGCUUACCAAGUCUUUGACGGGUAGCCGGCCUGAGAGGGUGACCGGCGACAUUGGGACUGAGAGACGGCCCAGACGCCUAAGGGACGCAGCAGGGGGGAAUAUGGCACAACGGGCGGAAGUCUGAUGCAGCAACGCCGCGUGCGGGAUGACGGCUUUCGGGUUGUAAACAGAUGUCGCCGGUGACGAAGAGUGAGUGACGGUAAUGGGUAAAGAAGCACCGGCUAACUACGUG
rnacentral:rRNA from 1 species